rnacentral:rRNA from 1 species
CCUACGGGAGGCUGCAGUGAGGAAUAUUGGUCAAUGGGCGCGAGCCUGAACCAGCCAAGUAGCGUGAAGGAUGACUGCCCUACGGGUUGUAAACUUCUUUUAUAAAGGAGUAAAGUGAGGAACGUGUGCCUUUUUGUAUGGACUUUAUGAAUAAGGAUCGGCUAACUCCGUGCCAGCAGCCGCGGUAAUACGGAGGAUCCGAGGGUUAUCCGGAUUUAUUGGGUUUAAAGGGAGCGUAGAGGGGUUGUUAAGUCAGUUGUGAAAGUUUGCGGCUCAACCGUAAAAGUGCAAUUGAUACUGGCCGUCUUGAGUACAGUUGAGGUAGGUGGAACUCGUGGUGUAGCGGUGAAAUGCUUAGAUAUCACGAAGAACUCCGAUUGCGAAGGCAGCUGUCUAAACUGCCACUGACAUUGAUGCUCGAAAGUGUGGGUAGCAAACAGGAUUAGAUACCCUUGUAGUC